GCGUGCGCACUGCCUUCCGGAGGCCGGGAGGCGGAAGUCCAAGCAGGUUGUCCCAAUUUUGGCCUGCAAAGACUUCCUUCUCUCGCCUCUACUAUCCAACUCCUGUGAGGGACUCAGGCAUAGUUCGGGCGGAGGCAGAAAGAGCGAGCGCGCGAAGAACUUCGGUAUUGAGGGAGAGCGCUUGUGACGCUACGAACCUCUCGAACACCUGACGACUGGGCGCCAGGGCCGGAUGGAGGGUGGAGAGCCAGUGCGGCGCAGCUGCCUCCUCUUAACGGGGACACCUUGCAGGAAUGUGCGGAGUGGAGCUAACGGGAGCGGAUAGAAACCGAGGGAGGGGAAGAGAGCGCGAAGGCUUGGCCGGAAGGAGAGGUUAAAAAGGAAAGGCCUAAAAUGAGGAAGAGAGUUACCACAACAAGCAGUACCUAGUUCCAGUUCUUGGUCCCAGGAGUUUGUGGUUGUUGCUGCUUUCAUCUUCCUCAGCCAACACAAAAGGAAAGUGCCAAGGGGCGAUUCCUAGGACCUUCAGUGCAGUCUCCACCUUGCGGACUUGGCUCAUUUGUGUCCACUCCUUUCUCCAGCCUUUUACACUUGAUGCUCUUGGAUGAAUAGAAAGGAGCACAAUUAAUGGAAAACACAAGCUUGGGAGUCAAGGGAUUUGGGUUCUAUUCUUGUCCUCCCUUGGUGACGACAUCAUUACCUUGGGUUAUUCAAGCUUUCAGUGCCAGAGUUCCUAUAUCAAUAAAAGAUUAUUACAUUGACCUCUUAGAGAAAUGUUUUCAUGGUACUGAAUUGCAAAUAAAGUAUGUGUAGCGAUGUGUUAUA
ensembl:lncRNA CBLL1-AS1 CBLL1 antisense RNA 1